UUGUUAAGCUCCUCCAGCACGCUCACCGGCAGGAAUGACCUUUGACCCCCGCGCUGCUUACUGUCAAUAGGAAAGAUUUUGUUAUGGCAUUCAAUACCAGCAUGGGAGAAGACGAUUUAAGGGGAAACGUGAGCCAACAUUUUUGAUGCAGGAAAAACCCCAAAAGAGAUAAGAAGUACGAUCUGUUUCUUUCCUCUUGUUUUCUGCUGCUGGUCAAACUCUAUUUCUCUGGACUUGAAUGUGUAAAACUGUCUCUGCUAUCAGCGUCUUAUCACGAGGCAGAGCUGAGUUUGUCUGCAUGGAGCGGUGUGUGUGUGUGUGGGGGGGCGUCCUUCAUAACCACUGUGAAACAUUAACUUUGAUCAUUUUAUGUGUUUACAGACCAUUUAACCCCUUGACAUCCAGCUUCCUCCUUUUCCCACCUUGAGAUGCUUUAAAAACAAUCAUCUACUUCUCAUAUCUUGUAUCAGCUUUCUAUAAAUGUGCUUUACUAGCUUAAUUUAUUUUAUUUCUUAUGUCCUGCAAUGGCUGUAUUUAUUCA
ensembl:lncRNA